rnacentral:rRNA from 1 species
AGCGAACGCUGGCGGCAGGCCUAACACAUGCAAGUCGAACGAACUCUUCGGAGUUAGUGGCGGACGGGUGAGUAACACGUGGGAACGUGCCUUUGGGUUCGGAAUAACUCAGGGAAGCUUGUGCUAAUACCGAAUGUGCCCUUCGGGGGAAAGAUUUAUCGCCUUUAGAGCGGCCCGCGUCUGAUUAGCUAGUUGGUGAGGUAACGGCUCACCAAGGCGACGAUCAGUAGCUGGUCUGAGAGGAUGGCCAGCCACACUGGGACUGAGACACGGCCCAGACUCCUACGGGAGGCAGCAGUGGGGAAUCUUGCGCAAUGGGCGAAAGCCUGACGCAGCCAUGCCGCGUGAAUGAUGAAGGUCUUAGGAUUGUAAAAUUCUUUCACCGGGGACGAUAAUGACGGUACCCGGAGAAGAGGCCCCGGCUAACUUCGUGCCAGCAGCCGCCGCCG